GAGCAUAUUGUUAAGUUAUUUUCAGGAAGUAACAACAGAGUUGUCUCUCUUGUCGCAAACGAAAAAAGGACAAAAUGGGACUGGUAGAUGUUGUCUACAGAGGAGUUUUCAGGCGGUCCUCGACAUUCGCCGUAGCUAUUCUUGGCGGGGCCAUCGUCUUUGAAACAUACUUUAACGAAAUAUGUGAUAAAUGGUUGGCACAACAUAAUGCAGGCAAGCGGUAUGCAGACAUGAGAAAGCUUUAUCCUAUAGAGUCUGCUGAAGAAAGUUAGAAAAAACUGUUGUGAUGGAAAGACUGCAGCCUGUGAAUUUUUAGGAUAAACAAAUAUUUAUGUUUCACUCUUGUUCUGAUCUGAACGAAAUUGGAUAUGUAAAAAAGUCAACAUGGUGAUUCAAUACAUGUUAUUAAACUUA